rnacentral:rRNA from 1 species
CCCUUAGAUGUUCUGGGCCGCACGCGCGCUACACUGAUGCAUUCAACGAGUCUAAAACCUGCUCUGAUAGGGGUGGGUAAUCUUUUGAAUGUGCAUCGUGAUUGGGAUAGAUGAUUGCAAUUUUUCAUCUUCAACGAGGAAUGCCUAGUAAACGCAAGUCAUCAGCUUGCAUUGAUUACGUCCCUGCCCUUUGUACACACCGCCCGUCGCUCCUACCGAUUGAGUGGUCCGGUGAGGCUUUGGGAUCUGGGCGGAAAGAGCGUUUCGCUGUUUCUGCCCGGAAAACUCAGUCGAACCUUAUCAUUUAGAGGAAGGAGAAGUCGUAACA